rnacentral:rRNA from 1 species
GAUUCGUAUAUUCUUGGUCGGGAAAAACAUGAUCUAAGUAUCCCUGAAGCAAGACGGGCCGUAGAUUCGAACACGACGACCUGAAGCUGAGCAGUAGCGAAAACAGGUCAUCCUAUAAAGCUGUAGCAUUUGCGAAUCACGUCAUUACAUAGGCAUGGGCACCAUCUUCUGCCUUGGUAGAGUUUUCGAGACAGGACUGAACCCACAUUUGAGUGGGAGAAAUGGACCAGUAUGUACGUAAGUUACGGAUCAGAGCAAGAGUUUGAGACAUUUUGUUUCGAUAAGAUGCAGCAAUUGCAUCUUGCUUUCGGGCCGUUACUGAUCACGUGCAAGACACAUGAAGGGCCGUCCACUCGUUUCUCGUAUCUCAGAGGUGGGGUGAUUUUGUCUAGUACUAAGGCGGAGUCUCGAUCUAAUGUCCACUCCCAGGCUAAUGUCCAGGCUAAAGUCCCGACUCUAUCUUUUCCAGUCACGACAAACAGCAACGCCGUCUCUAAUUACUCAACAUUGCUUUUGCUCGGUUCUUAAACGAAUGAAUUAAUGAUAUUAAUAGCUGGUGAGUUAUGAUAAGAGUCGAUCUUCCACUGAUUGCGGCUUAAUUUGACUCAACACGGGGAAACUCACCAGGUCCAGACACAAUAAGGAUUGACAGAUUGAUAGCUCUUUCUUGAUUUUGUGGGUGGUGGUGCAUGGCCGUUCUUAGUUGGUGGAGUGAUUUGUCUGCUUAAUUGCGAUAACGAACGAGACCUUGACCUACUAAAUAGCUCUACUUGCGAUUGCAGGUAGCUAGCUUCUUAGAGGGACUAUCUAUUACAAGUAGAUGGAAGUUCGAGGCAAUAACAGGUCUGUGAUGCCCUUAGACGUUCUGGGCCGCACGCGCGCUACACUGACGGAGCCAGCGAGUUGACCAAGCCCGAGAGGGCUAGGUAAUCUUGUGAAACUCCGUCGUGCUGGGGAUAGAGCAUUGCAAUUAUUGCUCUUCAACGAGGAAUUCCUAGUAAGCGCAAGUCAUCAGCUUGCGUUGAUUACGUCCCUGCCCUUUGUACACACCGCCCGUCGCUACUACCGAUUGAAUGGUUUAGUGAGACCUUGGGAGGGUGAGGGGGAGAGGGCAACCUUUUCCCAUUAUCCAAACUUGGUCAAACUUGAUUAUUUAGAGGAAGUAAAAGUCGUAACAAGGUUUCCGUAGGUGAACCUGCGGAAGG